rnacentral:rRNA from 1 species
UGGGGAAUAUUGCACAAUGGGCGCAAGCCUGAUGCAGCGACGCCGCGUGUGGGAUGACGGCCUUCGGGUUGUAAACCACUUUCAGCACAGAAGAAGCGUAAAAGUGACGGUAUGUGCAGAAGAAGCGCCGGCUAACUACGUGCCAGCAGCCGCGGUAAUACGGGGGGUGCAAGCGUUGUCCGGAAUCAUUGGGCGUAAAGCGUUCGUAGGCGGUAUGUCAAGUCUGGUGUUAAAGCCCGAGGCUCAACCUCGGUUCGGCAUUGGAUACUGGCAAACUAGAAUGUGGUAGAGGUAAAGGGAAUUCCUGGUGUAGCGGUGAAAUGCGUAGAUAUCAGGAGGAACAUCGGUGGCGAAAGCGCUUUACUGGACCAUUAUUGACGCUGAGGAACGAAAGCCAGGGGAGCAAAUG